UACGAAGGGGGCUAGCGUUGCUCGGAAUCACUGGGCGUAAAGCGCACGUAGGCGGCUCUUUAAGUCAGGGGUGAAAUCCUGGAGCUCAACUCCAGAACUGCCCUUGAUACUGAGGAGCUUGAGUCCGGGAGAGGUGAGUGGAACUGCGAGUGUAGAGGUGAAAUUCGUAGAUAUUCGCAAGAACACCAGUGGCGAAGGCGGCUCAUUGGCCCGGUACUGACGCUGAGGUGCGAAAGCGUGGGGAGCAAACAGG
rnacentral:rRNA from 1 species